AGAGUUUGAUCCUGGCUCAGAACGAACGCUGGCGGCGCGUCUUAAGCAUGCAAGUCGAGCGGCAAGCUGUAGCAAUACAGCCUAGAGCGGCGGACUGGUGAGUAACACGUGGGUGACCUACCCUUAGGUUGGGGAUAGCCGGUAGAAAUACCGGGUAAUACCGAAUGUGGUUUCCGGGUUAUGACCUGGAAAAGAAAGGAGCUACGGCUCCGCCUGAGGAUGGGCCCGCGUCCCAUUAGCUAGUUGGGGGUGUAACGGACCACCAAGGCGAUGAUGGGUAGCCGGCCUGAGAGGGUGAACGGCCACACUGGGACUGAGAUACGGCCCAGACUCCUACGGGAGGCAGCAGCUAAGAAUAUUCCGCAAUGGACGAAAGUCUGACGGAGCGACGCCGCGUGGAUGACGAAGGCCGAAAGGUUGUAAAGUCCUUUUGUCGACGAAGAAUAAGUGUGGGAGGGAAUGCCCGCAUGAUGACGUUAGUCGGCGAAUAAGCCCCGGCUAAUUACGUGCCAGCAGCCGCGGUAACACGUAAGGGGCAAGCGUUGUUCGGAAUUAUUGGGCGUAAAGGGUGUGUAGGCGGUUUCGUAAGCCUGGCGUGAAAUACUGGAGCUUGACUCCAGAACUGCGUUGGGAACUGUGAGACUUGAGUCAUGGAAGGGGAGUUGGAAUUCCAGGUGUAGGGGUGAAAUCUGUAGAUAUCUGGAAGAACACCGGUGGCGAAGGCGAACUCCUGGCCAAUGACUGACGCUGAGACACGAAAGUGCGGGGAGCAAACAGGAUUAGAUACCCUGGUAGUCCGCACAGUAAACGAUGUGCACUAGGUGUUGGGCCGAGCGGUUCAGUGCCGAAGCUAACGUGAUAAGUGCACCGCCUGGGGAGUAUGCCCGCAAGGGUGAAACUCAAAGGAAUUGACGGGGGCCCGCACAAGCGGUGGAGCAUGUGGUUUAAUUCGAUUGUACGCGAGGAACCUUACCUGGGUUUGACAUCCUGAGGAAUACGGUAGAGAUAUCGUAGCGUAGCAAUACGCCGCAGGACAGGUGCUGCAUGGCUGUCGUCAGCUCGUGCCGUGAGGUGUUGGGUUAAGUCCCGCAACGAGCGCAACCCCUACUGCCAGUUACUAACAGGUGAAGCUGAGGACUCUGGCGGAACUGCCGGUGACAAACCGGAGGAAGGUGGGGAUGACGUCAAGUCAUCAUGGCCCUUAUGUCCAGGGCUACACACGUGCUACAAUGGUCGGUACAGAGCGCAGCGAACCCGCGAGGGAUAAGCGAACCGCAAAAAGCCGACCGUAGUUCGGAUUGAAGUCUGAAACCCGACUUCAUGAAGGUGGAAUCGCUAGUAAUCGCGCAUCAGCACGGCGCGGUGAAUACGUUCCCGGGCCUUGUACACACCGCCCGUCACACCAUCCGAGUUGGAGGUACCCGAAGCCGUUAGCUUAACCCGCAAGGGGGAGCGACGUCGAAGGUAUGGCUAGUGAGGAGGGUGAAGUC
rnacentral:rRNA from 1 species